GAAAAAGGGGGCUCUCCGGCCCCGGCCUCAGGCCUCCGGCCACUGGACUGCGAGUGCCCACACGCUGUAUGCGCCGUUGUGUACGGCGGCGGGAAGGCUAAAAUCUCUCCUUCCUCUCGGCCCAAACGCAGGUAAUCUCUUCUUUCUUAUUGUUAACACUAUUUACAUGCAAAAAAAAGAAAAAGAAAGGAAUAGAGCAAAUAAAUCACCUCUGUUUUUUGGUAUGAAAAUUUCCUAUAUUUUUUAUUUCUGUAAAUAUAUGCGUAUAUCUCUUUUGUCUCUGUCCAAAAAAAAUCCCCUUUUACAAGUUACAAAGGAGGCUUUUAUAGCCACCGUUUCAUAUUCAGGAAGAAAUCUUUUUAUUUCUUUCUAUAUCUGUUUUGCUUGUUUGCUGCUGUUUCUUUCUUUCCUUUUGCAGGUAUCUAGCGAGGAAAUCAGUGGACCAGAAUGAUUAGGCCUUGACGACGACGGUGUUGGCGCUGAUCCGCGUUUAUUCGGCUUCAACUACGGCCAGAUUUUAGGCCGGGAAUCACGGCGUCAAGGGGGUAGAUGAACGACGCAUCGAUUACGGUGUUUAGCUUCUAGAGCCUUCCAUUUGCGGCGCCUAGGGUUUUUGAAACCCUAGGGCUUUCCGUGUUCUGUUAGCAUCUUGGGCUAUUUGGGCCUUGUAUGUCUUGGGUUAAGGGGUUAAUAGAUUUUGGGGCCAAAGAUUGGGUUGUAGCCGGGUACUGGGUUUUGGGUAGUUUAGCUGGGCUACGGGUUAAUGGAUUAGUAGGCUAUAGUAUUGAGUUUGUAAACUGGACUGAAAUAAAUAAACUUUUAUUUAUUUAUUUUUA
rnacentral:lncRNA from 1 species